rnacentral:lncRNA from 1 species
UGGUUACAUUAUAUAGCAUUUCGAAUUCAGUUAGCCGACUACGAAAACCAAUCAUAAACCCACCCAACAACUCAUCCAAAAUGAUUCGGUUAGACCUUGAACCACUCAUCCAAAAUAAUUCGGUAUAAUUCUAAAAUAAUAGUGGUUCAAUCGCAGUACAACUACAACUUAUAACAACUCCACAUACCAUCAGACUAACCGAUUCUAUGUCCCGGUACGGUUCUAAUAAAAAACAGACACCCAACAAUUCGAGUCAUUGAGACUAACGAAAUUGAAACAAUUCAUCACCUUGGUGCCUCUCUUGGGUCCAAUUUGGGGAGGUUUGACUUUCUUAGGAGCAGCUGCUGGUGCUGCCUCACCGUCAGCCGCAGGAGCUUCGGUUGUAGCGGCAGGUGGCGUGGCCGCUCCCUCAUCGGCAGCGGCCCUCACAGCCACCAGCCUGAAGGUGGUCUUGGCCGCUGGGACAAACAGGGAGUUACUGCUGGUGGUUUUUACAGCGGCAACUUUGGGUGCCAUUACGAAACCUGAAGC